rnacentral:rRNA from 1 species
GACGAACGCUGGCGGCGUGCUUAACACAUGCAAGUCGAACGGUAAGGCCCUUCGGGGUACACGUGGCGAACGGGUGAGUAACACGUGGGUGAUCUGCCCUGCACUUCGGGAUAAGCCUGGGAAACUGGGUCUAAUACCGGAUAGGACCACUGCCUGCAUGGGUGGUGGUGGAAAGCUUUUGCGGUGUGGGAUGGGCCCGCGGCCUAUCAGCUUGUUGGUGGGGUGAUGGCCUACCAAGGCGACGACGGGUAGCCGGCCUGAGAGGGUGACCGGCCACACUGGGACUGGGAUACGGCCCAGACUCCUACGGGAGGCAGCAGUGGGGAAUAUUGCACAAUGGGCGCAAGCCUGAUGCAGCGACGCCGCGUGAGGGAUGACGGCCUUCGGGUUGUAAACCUCUUUCAGCACCGACGAAGCGCAAGUGACGGUAGGUGCAGAAGAAGGACCGGCCAACUACGUGCCAGCAGCCGCCGUAA